GUAGAAAUGAGGCUUUAAGAGAGCUCAAAGAAAUGCACACUUCUAUUACAACAAUCUAUACCAUAAUAUACAUUUCAUCUCUUUGUCUACCAAAUAGAAGAAAAAUAUUGAUUCAAAGAUGGUUUCUAUUGUUUGGAAGAAACUAUUGUCGAUUGUUAGACUCAUCUUUCCUUCCAAAGUAAAUGCAAAGAGAUCGAGUUCCACACCCGACAUCGAUGGUAUGAAGAAAAAGAAAUUUCUUCCUCCUCUAUUUGAUCCAGAAAAUACUGCUGCUCCUCGCAAUGGGAACUAUUGAUUUUAAAAUUUUAUAUUCAAUUUAUUCCCUUAUCAAUUUGAUUAUCAUGAAAUAAAUAUAGCUGUUUUUUCAAUCUUUGAUUGUAAAGAGAAAAAGAAAUAUAUCAAUUCUAGAGUGUUUCCUUUUACAUAUUUGUAUUAAUUAACAAAUUUUGAUUUAGUCGUGUCCCUUUUAAGUAAUUUUUUUUUUUAGAUACGUCAAUUUGAAUUUUGCAUGAAACA